rnacentral:rRNA from 1 species
GCAUCGAUGAAGAACGCAGCGAAACGCGAUAGGUAAUGUGAAUUGCAGAAUUCCGUGAAUCAUCGAAUCUUUGAACGCACCUUGCGCUCCAUGGCAUUCCGUGGAGCAUGCCUGUUUGAGUGCCGCGAAAUCUCCCACCCCUAGCGGUUGCCGCAAGGCGCCGCCGGGCGGCGGGGUUGGUUGGGUGCCGCUGCCUGGGCUUUGGCCCAGGCUCGCCCGAAAUGCAUGAGCGCUUAGCACUCGCACCGUCUCGAGGGAAGGCGGCGGAGCUGGCAUCUGCGCAUGGCAUGAUACGUCAUUUGCUGUGUGGCAGCCCAGCGACCCGAGAGUGUGUGUGCGCUACUACACGCUCUUUCAUUUCUGGUCUCAAAUCAGGUAGGAUCACCCGCUGAACUUAAGCAUAUCAAUAAGCGGAGGA